GAAAGCCCUCAAUAAAGUUCCACAUGACAGACGUCCGUUUAAGGCAAAAGCUACAGAGAUCCAGGGUAGGGCAUGGAAGUGAAUAAAGAGCUAGUUAAGAAACAGAACACAGAGGGGCUACUUACAUGAUGAAGCUACAUUGCCUUCCAGAUAAGAUUGUCGCAGUAUUUGAUCAAGAUGGGAGGCAGAAAAUAAACACUUGCAGUGAACCAGCAAGUCGGCUCCUUAACGGUAGAGACAGAUGCAACUGCUAAGAUGGAGCUGAUAUACUUCAGUGAUGCAGUAGCAGAGAAAUACUGAGCUGGGAGUUGGGAGACCUGGGUUUUAGUGCUGGGUGUGCUGCCAAGACUCAUUAUGCGACCUUUGGCUUUCAGGUAGACCAAUAAUUCUCAAAUUGUCUCUCCUGGAUCUAUUUUCUAGUGACCAGUUGGAAGGAGAUUCAGAAAGUUCCUGAUACUGUGGGGCCAUCUUAGCUCCACCUCCUGGGUUGAGCUUUCGAGAAAUUUAGGAAUUCUACGAAGCAGAGGUCCAUGACUAAGAGGAAAUGCAGAGCAAAAAAAAAAGUGUUCCUGAUACCCAGGGGGAUACAGUGAGCAGGAGGAAGAGAAGGAAGAAGAAGCAAAGGAGAACUGGAUUACCAACAGUGCAGUUUGUGUGCAUCUGCUGCCAAUUUGAAGGAGCAACUAAUUCACAAACUCUAUGAUUGACCAGAGAUUAUGUGAAUGGAAGAUGAAGGGAGCAACUCAGACAAUAGCUCAUAUUCCUUACUCGACAAGUUCCAUGUCAUCUCCAAGCCAGAAUGCAAUGGCUCAUGUCUUGUUCUCUGAAUUGUCAAGUCAUUCGCAUUUGAGAUAUCCCAUGACAGUUUCCUACAGUUGGAAGAGCAGCAGCAAAGCAAUUUUUCGGUCUUGGCUCUGCAAGUGGAGGGAGUCACCCCAGCUCGUAAGACUUGCUCUCCAUGUAUAAGCACUGAUUCACUUUCAUUUUAAUGGGGAAAAGAAAUCACCAGCUAAAUUACAUUCAGGCAGCUUAGUGGAUGAUGAUUUGGUCAAGCGGUUACUUUUAAUCUCCUAAAGGACAUUGUGUUUUCAAACAGGAUGGAUGAACCAGUUAACAUGACUUGUUCCCUAAUCUUUUUCCCUUCAACUUGAGACAUUCUUAAAAUGCUGCAUAAAAAACAAUGAGCACAUUUUUAUUUGAGCACCUACUAUGUUAUAGCCUUGUAUCUGUACUAAUAAUGUGGAAAAUGAAAGUAGAAGACAUGGUUUCUUCCAUCAUGGAGUACUACAUAUAAAUGCCAGUGUAGUAUAGCAGGAAAGUAAUGGACUUAGUAUGAGAAGACAUGGGUUCAAGUACUAACUUUUCAUUUACUAACUGUGAGAACUUGGGUAAGUAUUUAUUUUUUACUUUAAAAUAUUUUUAUGAGGAUUUGUAAUAUCUUUCCCACUGUUCUCAUAUUAAACAAAUAUAAACAAAUAAAAGCAUCAUCUCACACACACAAAAUGUCCAAUUUUUUUUUAUUUUCUCAUUUUCCAUGCUUGACUAUCUAUCUAUCUAUCUAUCUAUCUAUCUAUCUAUCUAUCUAUCUAUCUAUCUUAAUUUUCAGGUCAUUACCUCCCUGGCAGAAGCUGAGUGUUUUAUUUCAAUGUCAGGUUUUUCUGGACUUGAGAUUUAUUAUUACAUUGAUCACAGUUCUAAAGUUUUUCAAAAUUCUUUUGGUAUAUAUUGUUACUAUUGUAUAAUUAUUCAAAUUUUGCACACUGUGUACUUGUACUAUACAGUUUUUGUGCAUUACUAUAUGUCAAUUCAAAGAGCUUCAUAGCUUCCUCUAAAAUAAUUUUUUACUUCUUACAACAUAUUAAUAUAUUUCACCAUUGUUAUUAAUAUUCCACCAUGUGUUUAGCUAUUCCUCAGUAGGAGACAACCUCAUUAGAUUCUAUUUUUGGGCUGUUAUAUAAAGAUGUGCUAUAAAUAUUUUUGGUGUUUUGUGAUUUUGUUGUUUGAGGCAGCUAGGUGAUGCAGUGGAUAGAGCACUAGGCCUGGAGCCAAGUGGAUUUAAGUUCAAAUCCAGCAGCAGACACGUCCUAGCUGUGGGCAAAUCACCUCACCCAGUUUUCCUUAGUUUCCUAAUAUGUAAAAUGAGCUAGAAAAGGAAAUGGUAAACCAUUCCCCUAUCUUUGCAAAGAAAAUCCUACAAAAUAUUGGGAAUUAUAAAAACACUGAACAACAACAAUAAUAAAUAUUCUAUUACUUA